rnacentral:rRNA from 1 species
GCGGCGUGCUUAACACAUGCAAGUCGAGCGGUAAGGCCCUUCGGGGUACACGAGCGGCGAACGGGUGAGUAACACGUGGGUGAUCUGCCUCGCACUUCGGGAUAAGCCUGGGAAACUGGGUCUAAUACCGGAUAUGACCGACUAGUGCAUGCUGGUUGGUGGAAAGAUUUAUCGGUGCGAGAUGGGCCCGCGGCCUAUCAGCUUGUUGGUGAGGUAACGGCUCACCAAGGCGACGACGGGUAGCCGACCUGAGAGGGUGACCGGCCACACUGGGACUGAGACACGGCCCAGACUCCUACGGGAGGCAGCAGUGGGGAAUAUUGCACAAUGGGCGAAAGCCUGAUGCAGCGACGCCGCGUGGAGGAUGACGGCCUUCGGGUUGUAAACUCCUUUCGACAGGGACGAAGCGAAAGUGACGGUACCUGUAGAAGAAGCACCGGCCAACUACGUGCCAGCAGCCGCGGUAAUACGUAGGGUGCGAGCGUUGUCCGGAAUUACUGGGCGUAAAGAGCUUGUAGGCGGUCUGUCGCGUCUUCUGUGAAAACUUGGGGCUCAACCUUAAGCUUGCAGGCGAUACGGGCAGACUAGAGUACUUCAGGGGAGACUGGAAUUCCUGGUGUAGCGGUGAAAUGCGCAGAUAUCAGGAGGAACACCGGUGGCGAAGGCGGGUCUCUGGGAAGUAACUGACGCUGAGAAGCGA